rnacentral:rRNA from 1 species
GAGCACGUAGGUGGGUUUGUAAGUCAGACGUGAAAGCCUUCUGUUCAACGGAAGAAUUGCAUCUGAAACUACAAACCUUGAGUGUAGGAGGGGAGAAUGGAACUUCUGGUGGAGCGGUGAAAUGCGUAGAUAUCAGAAGGAACGCCGGCGGCGAAAGCGAUCCUCUGGCCUAUUACUGACACUCAGUGUGCGAAAGCUAGGGGAGCAAACGGGAUUAGAUACCCCGGUAGUCCUAGCCGUAAACGAUGGGCACUAAGUAGAGGGGU